rnacentral:misc_RNA from 1 species
UCAAACUUGGUCAUUUAGAGGAAGUAAAAGUCGUAACAAGGUUUCCGUAGGUGAACCUGCGGAAGGAUCAUUAUUGAAUAAACCUGUGUGGGUUGUUGCUGACCUCCUUGGAGGUACGUGCACACCUGCCAUUGUUUCAUUCUCCUUCCACCUGUGCACUUUCUGUAGACCAUGCUGUUGCCUUUCGGGUUGCCUGCAUCCCGGUAUGAGGAUUUGCUUUAGCUGUCCUUGGAUGGUAUGGCCUAUGUCUUUAUCAACUCUGUAUGUUAAUGAAUGUUUGUUCUGGGUUCAUACCCAUAAAAUCUAUACAACUUUCAACAACGGAUCUCUUGGCUCUCGCAUCGAUGAAGAACGCAGC